GGGGGAUAUUGCGCAAUGGGGGCAACCCUGACGCAGCAACGCCGCGUGAAGGAUGAAGGUUUUCGGAUUGUAAACUUCUUUUAUUAAGGACGAAAAAUGACGGUACUUAAUGAAUAAGCUCCGGCUAACUACGUGCCAGCAACCGCGGUAAUACGUAGGGAGCAAGCGUUGUCCGGAUUUACUGGGUGUAAAGGGUGCGUAGGCGGCUUUGCAAGUCAGAUGUGAAAUCUAUGGGCUCAACCCAUAAACUGCAUUUGAAACUGUAGAGCUUGAGUGAAGUAGAGGCAGGCGGAAUUCCCCGUGUAGCGGUGAAAUGCGUAGAGAUGGGGAGGAACACCAGUGGCGAAGGCGGCCUGCUGGGCUUUAACUGACGCUGAGGCACGAAAGCGUGGGUAGCAAACAGGAUUAGAUACCCUGGUAGUCCACGCUGUAAACGAUGAUUACUAGGUGUGGGGGGUCUGACCCCUUCCGUGCCGGAGUUAACACAAUAAGUAAUCCACCUGGGGAGUACAGCCGCAAGGUUGAAACUCAAAGGAAUUGACGGGGGCCCGCACAAGCAGUGGAGUAUGUGGUUUAAUUCGAAGCAACGCGAAGAACCUUACCAGGUCUUGACAUCCAACUAACGAAGUAGAGAUACAUUAGGUGCCCUUCGGGGAAAGUUGAGACAGGUGGUGCAUGGUUGUCGUCAGCUCGUGUCGUGAGAUGUUGGGUUAAGUCCCGCAACGAGCGCAACCCUUGCUAUUAGUUGCUACGCAAGAGCACUCUAAUAGGACUGCCGUUGACAAAACGGAGGAAGGUGGGGACGACGUCAAAUCAUCAUGCCCCUUAUGACCUGGGCUACACACGUACUACAAUGGAUGUUAACAGAGGGAAGCAAGACAGCGAUGUGGAGCAAACCCCUAAAAACAUUCUCAGUUCAGAUUGCAGGCUGCAACCCGCCUGCAUGAAGAUGGAAUUGCUAGUAAUCGCGGAUCAGCAUGCCGCGGUGAAUACGUUCCCG
rnacentral:rRNA from 1 species